rnacentral:rRNA from 1 species
UUCCGGUUGAUCCUGCCGGACCUGACUGCUAUCGGAUUGAUACUAAGCCAUGCGAGUCUUUGUAGUAAUACAAGGCAUACGGCUCAGUAACACGUAGUCAACCUACCUUAUGGACGAGGAUAAUCUCGGGAAACUGAGGAUAAUACUCGAUAGACCAUCACUCCUGGAACGGUUGGUGGUUGAAAUGAUUCGUCGCCAUAGGAUGGGACUGCGGCCUAUCAGCUUGUUGGCGAGGUAAUGGCUCACCAAGGCGAUUACAGGUACGGGCUCUGAGAGGAGAAGCCUGGAGAUGGGUACUGAGACACUGACCCAGGCCCUAUGGGGCGCAGCAGGCGAGAAAACUUUGCAAUGUGCGAAAGCACGACAAGGUUAAUCCGAGUGAUUUCUGCUAAAGGAAUCUUUUGCUAGUUCUAAAAAUACUAGUGAAUAAGGGGUGGGCAAGUUCUGGUGUCAGCCGCCGCGGUAAAACCAGCACCUCAAGUGGUCAGGAGGAUUAUUGGGCCUAAAGCAUCCGUAGCCUGCUUUGUUAGUUUUCGGUUAAAUCCAUGUGCUCAACGCAUGGGCUGUCGGAAAUACUACACAGCUAGGGAGUGGGAGAGGUAGACGGUACUCAGUAGGAAGGGGUAAAAUCCUUUGAUCUAUUGAUGACCACCUGUGGCGAAGGCGGUCUACCAGAACACGUUCGACGGUGAGGGAUGAAAGCUGGGGGAGCAAACCGGAUUAGAUACCCGGGUAGUCCCAGCUGUAAACUAUGCAGACUCGAUGAUGCAUUGGCAUAAUAGCCAGUGCAGUGUCGCAGGGAAGCCGUUAAGUCUGCCGUCUGGGAAGUACGUACGCAAGUAUGAAACUUAAAGGAAUUGGCGGGGGAGCACCACAACGGGUGAAGCCUGCGGUUCAGUUGGAGUCAACGCCGGGA